CCUAGGAAACGUGCGGAUUAAGUGUCACCUAAAAGUGACCCUUGCGGUUUGUAAAAAGUACGAGAAUAAGGGGUGGGCAAGACUAGUGCCAGCCUCCGCGGUAAAACUAGCAACCCAAGUGGUGGUCGUUUUUAUUUGGCUUAAAGCGUCCGUAGUCGGAUAUGUAAGUUUUCUGUGAAAUCCUAGCGCUUAACGUUAGGGCUUGCAGAGAAUACUGCUUAUCUUGGAGCCGGGAGAGGUUGGGGGUAUUCCUGGGGUAGCGGCGAAAUGCUAUAAUCCUAGGAGGACCACCGACAGCGAAGGCACCCAACUAGAACGGGCUCGACGAUGAGGGACGAGAGCUAGGGGAGCAAACCGGAUUAGAUACCCGGGUAGUCCUAGCCGUAAACAAUGCAGGCUGUGUGUUUCCUGAACCUCGAGUUCAGGAAGUGCUGAAGGGAAACCGUUAAGCCUGCCGCCUGGGGAGUACGGUCGCAAGGCUGAAACUUAAAGGAAUUGGCGGGGGAGCACCACAAGGGGUGGAGUCUGCGGUUUAAUUGGAUACAACGCCGAGAAACUUACCAGGGGCGACGGCAGUAUGAAGGCCAGAUUAAAGAUCUUGCCGAACGAGCCGAGAGGUAGUGCAUGGCCGUCGUCAGCUCGUACCGUGAGGCGUGCGGUUAAGUCCGUUAACGAGCGAGACCCGUGCUUCUAUUUGCCACUUUCUCCGUAAGGAGGGAGGCACUAUAGGAGGACCGCUGGCGAUGAGUCAGAGGAAGGCGCGGUCGACGAUAGGUCUGUAUGCUCCGAAUCUCCUGGGCUACACGUGGACUACAAUGGCAUGGACAUUGGAUGCACGCCGAAAGGCGAAGCCAUCCCCUAAACCAUGUCUCAGUUCGGAUCGAGGGUUGAAACUCACCCUCGUGAAGGUGAAAUCCCUACACGCUGCCACAUCCACGA
rnacentral:rRNA from 1 species